GAAAAGCUGCAAUCACGUUUUAAACAAAGGGCUCCUCUCUUCUUUGUUUGCAUGUGUGACCAAAACCCGACAGCUAAAAUAGAGAAAUUAUUUUCCUCUUUUUCAUAAAAUUGAGUUCUUAUCUUCCUGGACUACAUCACCUGUAUCUAUUAAAUUCGCGCAUUCGCGCUGUUCUGUCACCUCGGGUAUGAUUCAUACCGGAGAAGAUCCUGUUGAAUAUGGGGGAUUUACGCUUAUGAGGCGGAUAAAUCCAUAAGGACAGUGUAUGCCUCAGGUAUUGUUUCACGGUUCACUAUUUUGCAUGUGAUUCAUAGUUGGUAUGUGAUUUCAUGGGUGUUUAGUAUGCGGUUGUCGACAUCAAAUUACUAUACUCACAAAAAUAAGUUCCUAUGAUCUCUAUUUUGUAAAACAUGUUCUUCAAGAAGUCAAAAACCAAAGAUAAUGCUUCCAUUUGUAAAACAUGUUCUUUUUGGGACCCCUUAUCAACAGUAUUUUCAAAUUGAAGACCCUCAGGCAUUUG
rnacentral:lncRNA from 1 species